UUAGGUGAGGUGUCUUCAUCUUUUCUUCAACCAACAUAUAAUUUUAGUGCGUUAGUAUUUUUUUUUAUUUCUCUGCAGCGAUGUUAUUACUAGUUAAAUGUGGCCCCGUGUGCCUAUGAUAUGCGUUUUGCUCGUUUUUAUCAUUAUGAGUUAAUACAGCACAUGCAGCGGUGUGUUAAACCGAUGGUGAUUUAGGCUAUCGCUUGAAUCUUAAACCAUCCUAACUCGUUUAGCACUUCUUUACAUUUGCUUUAUCUAUUCCUCAACAAACAAUUGAUGUUAAUCUGCAAUAAUUGUAUAUUUUAUGGAUGAUUGUUUAAAAACGUGCUUUUUUUUUCUAACGGCUUAGAUUAGCUCUGUCUCUCAAUGAUGAUAACUUACACAGACCUGUUCUGAGACACUGUGAUUGCACUAUAUUUAUCUGACGAGAGAUUGGCGUUUUGGUUAAGUUGGUGUUUUAUUCAAAUGUACAGUAACCGAGUAAAGUUCACAUGUUGCGCAAGCUCCACGUGGCUAUGCUUGUCCUAACUGCAGUUUCUUUUGCAGUCAUGCGGACCACGAUGAAACUACAGCUGAUGGGCUGGAAAGGUUCAGUUGCCUCUGGUGCCUUGAAGUCAAGGGCUUUUAAUAUCAAGGGUGCCACAUGAAGCUGGGAUUGAGUGUGCAGAGUGCCCAUGUUAUAUUUGUAAGUAGUUUUUAUAUACACAAGUCUUUAAUUCAGCUUGGUCUGAGAUGAUUAAUUUUUUUACCAUUAUUUUACUGGACGACAGACUUGUCAUAUGGCAUCCUAGUCACCAAAGUCUGAUCAGAUUUUUUUUUUGUGGUAUAUGAAGUCUUUGCCUGCAGCUUCCCAUUCUUAUCUCUGUUAUUUGUUUAGGUUCAUUGAGUUUAUUCUACUGGAGAAUUGGAAUGCCUUGGCUUCCUGGUGGUCCCUGCACAAAGUUACCUUGAAACGGGUGACCUAGCUGUAAAGGUCUUCUGUGAUAAAGAUGAAAUGAGUUGUAUCCUCAAGACUUGCUGGGUGGUGCACCAGAUAUAUGAAAAGGGCUUUUGUGAUCAAAGAUGAAAGGAGUUGUAUGCUCUAGGACCCACAGGUGACUCAUCAUAGCUUUAUAGUACUACUGAAGAACUGGUGGUUUUUGGAAGUGCUUCAUCUUUGUGGGGGACUCCAUGCAUAGCCUCUGCUGCCAUACUGCAUGUUUACUAGGGUUCCCUGAUGUCACUGGAUGCUGGUGUUUCUGCGUUUGUCUCAGUCUGAUGUUUCAUGACUAGUUGAUAUCUCUCAAUGCUUGAUUUGUACAGUCUUGCACUAACAAUGAAUGUCUUUCAUGAUACUUGUUACUUCUGAAAUUAUUGUACUGGGAUGUUGGAUGUGCAUUUAUACAGAAUAAAUGGUUUCUUGACUCAUA